UUCCGUCUUUAUUUAUAUCGAUGGUAAAGCAUUUUGUCCGUGGCUAUUUCACUCCAAAUUAUACUUCCGGUUUUAGUUUUCGAGAAAGAAACUUUUCGUCGGUUCGAGCUAAUAAAGAUGUCAGGUGUUUUGCGUAGCGCUAUAACCAAGACAGCACCCGCUGUAAGAUCUAACAUCACACAAAAGGCAAAUGUAAUGUCUGGUCCACCUAAACACGAAAUUUCAAUUGCAGAAAAGGUGGGAGUUGGAAUGGUGAUGUGUGCAGUUGUAGUAGCACCAGCAUCCUGGAUUCUCAUGAACAUCCCAAAUUAUAAAAAACGAGAUGAUUAGGCAUAGUUUGAUUUAAUAUUUAUAGAGAUGGAUGUGAACUAGAGACAGACAUAAUAAAAUCUAGAAGUGAACUUUAAAUAUUUGAAAAGAAGAACAUGAUAAACUGAACCGAACUUAGAAACAAACACAAAAAAAUACCAAAUUUGGAAUGAAGGCAGUGAAGAAUAUUUGGAUGUUACACUAAUAUACUAUUCCUGCAUUAUUUUUAUUAAAAUGUAACAAAAUGUU